rnacentral:rRNA from 1 species
CCUACGGGCGGCUGCAGUCGAGGAUCAUUUGCAAUGGGCGAAAGCCUGACAAUGCGACGCUGCGUGGAGGAUGAAGGCCCUCGGGUCGUAAACUCCUGUCAUGGGGGAACAGGCGAAGGCGGCGAACACCCGCCGGAGUUGAGUGUACCCCAAGAGGAAGCGACGGCUAACUCUGUGCCAGCAGCCGCGGUAAUACAGAGGUCGCAAGCGUUGUUCGGAUUUACUGGGCGUAAAGGGCGCGUAGGCGGCGCGGCGUGUCGGAUGUGAAAUCCCCGGGCUCAACCCGGGAAGUGCGUCCGAGACUGCCGCGCUCGAGUCCGGAAGGGGGAAUCGGAAUGCAGGGUGUAGCGGUGAAAUGCGUUGAUAUCCUGCAGAACACCGGAGGCGAAGGCGGAUUCCUUGUACGGCACUGACGCUGAGGCGCGAAAGUCGGGGGAGCAAACAGGAUUAGAUACCCUAGUAGUC